rnacentral:rRNA from 1 species
UGGGGAAUUUUGGACAAUGGGCGCAAGCCUGAUCCAGCCAUGCCGCGUGAGUGAAGAAGGCCUUCGGGUUGUAAAGCUCUUUCGGCGGGGAAGAAAUGGCGCUUUCUAAUACAGGGCGUUGAUGACGGUACCCGCAUAAGAAGCACCGGCUAACUACGUGCCAGCAGCCGCGGUAAUACGUAGGGUGCGAGCGUUAAUCGGAAUUACUGGGCGUAAAGCGUGCGCAGGCGGUUGUGUAAGUCAGAUGUGAAAUCCCCGGGCUCAACCUGGGAACUGCAUUUGAGACUGCACGGCUAGAGUGUGACAGAGGGGGGUAGAAUUCCACGUGUAGCAGUGAAAUGCGUAGAGAUGUGGAGGAAUACCGAUGGCGAAGGCAGCCCCCUGGGUUACUACUGACGCUCAUGCACGAAAGCGUGGGGAGCAAACA